rnacentral:ncRNA from 2 species
AUAUGAAAAAAAUGGACAGGUGCCCCCGGGAGGGGGAGAAUAGGGAAGUCCGGUAACCGCCUUUUCAGGCGGCGAUCCGGCGCGGUCCCGCCACUGUGAGCGUGGAGUUGGCGAUAUAACGCCACUGGGAUAGUUCCCGGGAAGGCAUCGCUAAACAAGGAAGCGCGAGCCAGGAGACCUGCCUGUCCAUAUGACCUCUC